rnacentral:rRNA from 1 species
UGGGGAAUAUUGCACAAUGGGGGAAACCCUGAUGCAGCGACGCCGCGUGAACGAAGAAGGUAUUCGUAUCGUAAAGUUCUGUCCUAUGGGAAGAUAAUGACAGUACCAUAGAAGAAAGCUCCGGCUAAAUACGUGCCAGCAGCCGCGGUAAUACGUAUGGAGCGAGCGUUGUCCGGAAUUAUUGGGCGUAAAGGGUACGCUGGCGGUUUAAUAAGUCGAAUGUUAAAGAUCGGGGCUCAACCCCGCAAAGCAUUGGAAACUGAUAAACUUGAGUAGUGGAGAGGAAAGUGGAAUUCCUAGUGUAGUGGUGAAAUACGUAGAUAUUAGGAGGAAUACCAGUAGCGAAGGCGACUUUCUGGACACAAACUGACGCUGAGGUACGAAAGCGUGGGGAGCAAACAGG